rnacentral:rRNA from 1 species
AUUGAACGCUGGCGGCAGGCUUAACACAUGCAAGUCGAACGAUGAUUAUCUAGCUUGCUAGAUAUGAUUAGUGGCGGACGGGUGAGUAGCAUUUAGGAAUCUGCCUAGUAGUGGGGGAUAGCUCGGGGAAACUCGAAUUAAUACCGCAUACGACCUACGGGUGAAAGGGGGCGCAAGCUCUUGCUAUUAGAUGAGCCUAAAUCAGAUUAGCUAGUUGGUGGGGUAAAGGCCCACCAAGGCGACGAUCUGUAACUGGUCUGAGAGGAUGAUCAGUCACACCGGAACUGAGACACGGUCCGGACUCCUACGGGAGGCAGCAGUGGGGAAUAUUGGACAAUGGGGGCAACCCUGAUCCAGCCAUGCCGCGUGUGUGAAGAAGGCCUUUUGGUUGUAAAGCACUUUAAGCAGGGAGGAGAGGCUAAUGGUUAAUACCCAUUAGAUUAGACGUUACCUGCAGAAUAAGCACCGGCUAACUCUGUGCCAGCAGCCGCGGUAAUACAGAGGGUGCGAGCGUUAAUCGGAAUUACUGGGCGUAAAGCGAGUGUAGGUGGCUUAUUAAGUCACAUGUGGAAUCCCCGGGCUUAACCUGGGAACUGCAUGUGAUACUGGUGGUGCUAGAAUAUGUGAGAGGGAAGUAGAAUUCCAGGUGUAGCGGUGAAAUGCGUAGAGAUCUGGAGGAAUACCGAUGGCGAAGGCAGCUUCCUGGCAUAAUAUUGACACUGAGAUUCGAAAGCGUGGGUAGCAAACAGGAUUAGAUACCCUGGUAGUCCACGCCGUAAACGAUGUCUACUAGCCGUUGGGGUCCUUGAGACUUUAGUGGCGCAGUUAACGCGAUAAGUAGACCGCCUGGGGAGUACGGCCGCAAGGUUAAAACUCAAAUGAAUUGACGGGGGCCCGCACAAGCGGUGGAGCAUGUGGUUUAAUUCGAUGCAACGCGAAGAACCUUACCUGGUCUUGACAUAGUGAGAAUCCUGCAGAGAUGCGGGAGUGCCUUCGGGAAUUCACAUACAGGUGCUGCAUGGCUGUCGUCAGCUCGUGUCGUGAGAUGUUGGGUUAAGUCCCGCAACGAGCGCAACCCUUUUCCUUAUUUGCCAGCGGGUUAAGCCGGGAACUUUAAGGAUACUGCCAGUGACAAACUGGAGGAAGGCGGGGACGACGUCAAGUCAUCAUGGCCCUUACGACCAGGGCUACACACGUGCUACAAUGGUAGGUACAGAGGGUUGCUACACAGCGAUGUGAUGCUAAUCUCAAAAAGCCUAUCGUAGUCCGGAUUGGAGUCUGCAACUCGACUCCAUGAAGUCGGAAUCGCUAGUAAUCGCAGAUCAGAAUGCUGCGGUGAAUACGUUCCCGGGCCU